CUCCUCCCUCAGCGUGUGGGGCUCUAGCUCCACCUUCCAGCAAUCUGCCUGCUCAGCGCCAGGAGCAGCCACCUACAGAAGGGAAGAGGAUGCAAGUAUGCUUUGGUCAGUCAUGUCCCAAAGCACAGGAGCCUUGAGGAACAGACUGAGGUGGCAAUGCUGCAACAUCAGUUUUCUGAGGAAGGGGUCGCAUCCAUCCACCCACUCAGACAGGUCUCGCCCCUUGCAAUGCAUUGUCCAGUCCUCCCUGAAGAAGAAGAAAGCAAA